CAGGCUGGUCCUCGCCUGCUCUCCCACCGCCCCCGAGAAAUGUAAUCUUUUUAGGUUAAAGGCCACGGGAAAGUGACUGGAGCAGGCUUUCAUCAGACCCCAGAAAGCUGGGUUUGGAAGGAGCUCCCUCGGUCACCACAAGCUACAGGAGGGUGGGCAUCCAGGGCUGGUUGUGAAGGAGUGUCUUCCAUGAGGAGACCCCUAGGCCACCCCAGACCCCCUCCCAGCCCUUCUCCACCACAGCUGCUCCCUGACGGCCAGCCCAUCAUCCAAGGAAAACAGCCCAGGCAGUGGAAAAUUACAGUUUUCCAAUAAGAGAGACCAACUGCAGCUUCGUAGUUUUCAUUUCAGAAUGAGUACACAUGUCAUGUCAGAAGAGAAACCCCGGCAGGAUCUAGAAGUCACCCGAUGCCAGUGAGAGGAGGUAUACAGAAGAUGGACAGAUACAUGAAUACAAGUGACAAGCAUCAUCAAAGCUGUAAUGCAGGUCAGCUGCACCGGGCAAAUGCAGCAUACGGUGACGCUGUAACCUCCCUGAAACGGCAAUAAAAAUGCACCUGACCCAGGGAGGUGUCACUGUGUGGAAGCCUGCCCCUUCCUCGGUAGGGAAAAGAUGGCCUGACCUGCAGCUUCAUUCAAAGGAGUCCACGUCUCCUCACCUAGGUUAGAGCAGGUCGCAUCAUCCACACAGAUGCUCCAAAAACCCAAGCUGGCGCUGUCACGGAUUUAGGAGCUCCCGUCUGUUUCAAGGUGCUGCUUCUCACUGAGCCUACUUCAUCAUUUAAAUUAUUAACAGUGAAAGUGCAUUGACUGGGGGAGUCGGUGGAAUACAGGAUUCUGAAGAGGGUGGAAGGGUCUCAAUUCAGUUUCAUCUCUCACGCGACUCACCCUCAUCAGUCUCCAGAUCUGGGCUGCUGAACAUGCAUGGAAGAAACGGAGGGGAUUUUUAAG
rnacentral:lncRNA from 1 species